GAUGCUUCCCCCUGACCUGUCCUCGCAGGUGUGGCCCGGCGGGGGCGGGGACAGGGGAUGCUUCCCCCUGACCUGUCCUCGCAGGUGCGGCCCGGCGGGGGCGGGAGAGAGGAUUCUUCCUCCCCCACCUGUCCUCACAGAUGCAGCCCGAUGGGGCGGGACAGGGGAUGCUUCCCCCUGACCUGCCCUCGCAGGUGCAGGUGCAAAAGGGGCGGGAGAAGGGAUGCUUCUGCGAGGUGCCCCGAAGAAGUAGCGGGUCACCUCGCCGGCAGGCUGGGCGUGCAGCGAGGCCCCGGCAUCCUCCUGCUGAAUCAACACAGUCUGAGCCACCGGGGACAUCAGCCUCCAACAGAGGAAGAACUCUUACAAGGCCACAGUCGUCAUGUCUGAACACACACGAACGUGAGCGUAGCGCAAGCCAGAGAAAUGACCAGACCUCGCUCCGCCCUGCCCAAUACAAGUGACUGCUGCUUCUGGACCUGUUACAGACAGAAAUACUCUGACAGUGCUCACAGGCUCUCCUGUCCUAGCCUUUGGUGCACAGAGCAGCCCACCCCAACCCAGCGUGACCUGACGACUUCUCCAGAGGAGCUCUCCCUAAGGCCUCCAGUGACUUCCCACUAAUGCCAAAUGGAGCUGACCUUUCUAGUCAUCAUCUUCCGUGAAUCCCACCAGUGGACGCCGGUGGCCUCUUUCUCUUCAGCUUGUGAGACACAUCCCUCUCCUGGCUUUCUUCCUGUUCUCUGGCUGUGCCAUCUCUGCCUUCUCCGUGGGUCCAAAGUCCUCUGCCUGGCUACUCGUGGAUGGAAUUCCUUCACACUAGAUCCUGAGUCCUCUCCUCACGCUGUACUCCCUCCCUGGGCAAUCUCCUCCACACUUGGCUUGAAUUACGGUUCACUUGAACAUAGUUCGUUAAUCUAUACUUCCUACCAGCUCAAGAUCAUGUGUCAGAUAAGUACCCAUGUGACAUCUCUUGGACGUCCCAAAAGUGCCUCAGAUUCAACGUGUCCCCCUUGGAACCAUUCUCUCCACGCCCCACCCCUACCCCCUUCAAUCUGAUCUGCUUCUUGGGUUGACACAGCCCUGGGCUCCUAAUCCUACAACCCCUCUAUAGGAGACAGCCUCUGAGUGGCCCCAUGAUCUCCAUCUCCUAGGGUUCAACCAUUGUGUGGUCCCCUUCCCUUGAGUGUGACCAAAGCCCAUGACUUGCUCAGGCCAACAGAGGCCAGCAAAGGUAUCGGGGUGGAUGUGAUUCAUUCAUUCUUUUUUUUUUUAAGAUUUUAUUUAUUUAUUCGUAAGAGACACAGAGAGAGGCAGAGACAUAGGCAGAGGGAGAAGCAGGGAGCCUGAUGCAGGACUCUAUCCCAGGACCUUGGGGAUCACACCCUGAGUCAAAGGCUGACGCUGAACCACUGAGCCACCCAGGUGCCCCUGGAUGUGAUUCUUUCACACAGGAUUGUGACACCCAUUCUGCUCGGGGACCCUCCUUCCCUUGCUGGCUCUGAAGAAGCAAGCUGCCAUGCUGUGCACUGCAGUAUGGAGAGGAAUGUGGUAACUGGAGGAACUGAAGGUGGCUUCCAGGUGACAACCAGCCAGAAACUGAGGCCUUCAAUCCAAGAGCCCUCAAGGAAAUGAAUGCCACUAACAGCUGUCUGAGCUUGGAAGUAGAUCCUUCCUAGUUGAGCCUCCGAUGAGAGCCCAGCCCUGGCCAGCACCUGACUGCAGUCUCGCAGAGGACCCCAUUGUGCCCAGACUCCUGACCCACGGAAACUGGGAUACUAGAUGGAUGUGGCUCUAAGCCACUAAGUUUGUAGUAAUUUGUUAGAGAGCACUAGAUGCCUAAUACACUCUCCAUCACCAAGUCCUAUCA